AUUGUGUUGUAUAAUAAACCAUGUCUUAAAAAACAGCAUGUCUCUCAUCUAGUCUUUCUCCAUGUCUCUCUUCAUUCACAGUUGGAGAGAAAACAAGCUGAGCUCCUGAAGGAGAAAGAGGACAGAGAGAAAGAAGUGAAGGACCUGAAGAAUCAGCUGGAGUCAAAGCAAAAACAGAUUGAGACUCUUCAGGAAUCUGAGAAACAGCUGAAAGCUCAGAAUGAGGAGUCUCAGUUGAAAACAGAUCAAACUGCUUCAGUGCAGUCUUCCAGCUCUCCAAUAAGAGAUAAUUUGGGAAAUAAAACAAUAUACUUUGACAAGUGUACAUGAAAAUUAUAAAAUACUGUUAAACACAAAAAAA